GACGAACGCUGGCGGCGUGCUUAACACAUGCAAGUCGAACGGAAAGGCCCUGCUUUGGUGGGGUGCUCGAGUGGCGAACGGGUGAGUAACACGUGAGUAACCUGCCCUUGACUUUGGGAUAACUUCAGGAAACUGGGGCUAAUACCGGAUAGGAGCUCCUGCUGCAUGGUGGGGGUUGGAAAGUUUCGGCGGUUGGGGAUGGACUCGCGGCUUAUCAGCUUGUUGGUGGGGUAGUGGCUUACCAAGGCUUUGACGGGUAGCCGGCCUGAGAGGGUGACCGGCCACAUUGGGACUGAGAUACGGCCCAGACUCCUACGGGAGGCAGCAGUGGGGAAUAUUGCACAAUGGGCGGAAGCCUGAUGCAGCAACGCCGCGUGCGGGAUGACGGCCUUCGGGUUGUAACCCGCUUUCGCCUGUGACGAAGCGUGAGUGACGGUAAUGGGUAAAGAAGCACCGGCUAACUACGUG
rnacentral:rRNA from 1 species